rnacentral:lncRNA from 1 species
GGGAGUAUAAAAAUGUUGAGAACAAGGGAGGGUGAAAACACGCUGGUGAGGAGAGAUAAAUGGAACAGCAGCAAGAAUUGCUGCUGGGGAGAGAGUGGGGAAGGAGCCCAGCAAGGAGAGGGCAGGCUGGGAAUCCUUUAUUUUGGGAAAAUGUCCAUUCCUGGUGACAGGCAGACAGGGUGAAUUCUAGUAGUUGCUUUUCAGACAAGACCGGCCACUCCCUGUCACUGCCUUGCCCUGAAGCAGUGCCCAGAAUAACACUGACUCUCCUAUUUGUUUGCCACUACGCAGCUCAUUUUCCCUUUCCUUCCAGGAGGCUGCCCAGGGCUUGGGAAGGAGCUAAUAUCAUUAGGAAUAAUCACACUGAGUGCGAAUUCCUAUUAGCUUUAUUGCAAAACAACCAGGCUGGACCCUACGUGAAUUACAUCUGGGAAGCCGAGCCCUUUCCCCAGGGAAUGCUAAUAUUUCUCUACUCCAAAAGAGAGAAGCUGGUGGAAACAAAGCAUCACAAGAAGGGUGAUGGAAAGACAACAGACUUGAUAUGGCUGUGGUGGCAAGGUAAGUCAUGAAUGAGAUCUUUAAACUUAGCCUGUGUUUAGGGGAGAAGGGGGCAAAAGGAAACUUUCUGUACUUUUUCCAAGUCCAGAGAAAAAAGUCUGGAGCUUUCUUGCUUAGAAGAGGAUUACAAUAGGAGGAAUAAGAGAUUUUCCUCUUCCCUUUAUGCUAGGGAUGUCACAGGGCACAAACUCCAGACAUUGUGCAGCAGAUUAAGUUCACAUAACCAUUAUUCAAAGCAAUGGCCAUCAGCAAGACUUGGAGGCCAUUCUCUCAGCCUGGCACACAAACUGCAGGACACACAGCCACAGCUUGGCUGAGCUCCCAAGGGCCACAGCAUCUCUGGAUGGGGUGGCUGAUCCCCCACAUGGAGCCAGGGGAACAGGAGGAAAUCAACUUCCAUCUGUAACACAAGAAGCUGUGUAGAAUGAAUUCCUUAUAGCAAGAGGGGGUGGGGAAGGAUUUGCAAGCAGGACUCGGGUCCUGAAGCUCUGCCAAUGAUUACCAGACACUUCAUAAUGCAAAGCAGCGGCUGCCUCAUGGAGCUGCAUGUUCUGCCUUGGUAUGCUGAAGCUCUGUUCCAGGGUAAAGCUGGAGCUAAAAAUUCCAGUGGCAGGACUGUAAUCUUUUUCCAUAAGAAGAUUUAGUCUCUUCCUUCCCAAGCAUUUGGACUUGAGGUGAAUAGAAGCAGAAAAGAGCAAUUCUCUGGUUAAUUUUUGGCGACGGAUGAAUGGAAAUUGCAGAAGCAUUUACAUCUCUCCAACCAUUAUAUCCUGCAUGGGCUUAAUCUUUCACGUGUAAGUGAAAUGUAUGAAGCUGGAGUUACUGGGCUCUAAAAGUUCCUUCUAAGGGCA